rnacentral:rRNA from 1 species
CCUACGGGAGGCAGCAGUGAGGAAUAUUGGUCAAUGGACGAGAGUCUGAACCAGCCAAGUAGCGUGAAGGAUGACUGCCCUAUGGGUUGUAAACUUCUUUUAUAUGGGAAUAAAAUGUUCCACGUGUGGGAUUUUGUAUGUACCAUAUGAAUAAGGAUCGGCUAACUCCGGGCCCGAAGCCGCGGUUAUACGGAGGAUCCGAGCGUUAUCCGGAUUUAUUGGGUUUAAAGGGAGCGGAGGUGGAUUGUUAAGUCAGUUGUGAAAGUUUGCGGCUAAACCGUAAAAGUGCAGUUGAAACUGGCAGUCUUGAGUACAGUAGAGGUGGGCGGAAUUCGUGGUGUAGCGGUGAAAUGCUGAGAUAUCACGAAGAACUCCGAUUGCGAAGGCAGUUCACUGGACUGCAACUGACACUGAGGCUCGAAAGUGUGGGUAUCAAACAGGAUUAGAUACCCUUGUAGUC